rnacentral:rRNA from 1 species
AUACUCCUACGGGGGGCAGCAGUGAGGAAUGUUGGUCAAUGGGAGAGAUCCUGAACCAGCCAAGCCGCGUGAGGGAAGACGGCGCUAUGGGUUGUAAUCCUCUUUUGUCGGAGAACAAAACCCGGGACGUGUCCCGGACUGCGUGUAUCCGAAGAAAAAGCCUCGGCUAACUCCGUGCCAGCAGCCGCGGUAAUACGGAGGAUGCGAGCGUUAUCCGGAUUUAUUGGGUUUAAAGUGU